UACAGGGGGUGCAAACGUUGCUCGGAAUCAUUGGGCGUAAAGCGCACGUAGGCGGUCUGUUAUGUCGGAUGUGAAAGCCCUCGGCUCAACUGAGGAAGUGCAUCCGAAACUGGCAGGCUAGAGUACUAAAGAGGGUCGCGGAAUUCCCGGUGUAGAGGUGAAAUUCGUAGAUAUCGGGAGGAACACCGGUGGCGAAGGCGGCGACCUGGGUAGAUACUGACGCUGAGACGCGAAAGCGUGGGGAGCGAACAGG
rnacentral:rRNA from 1 species